UGAUAUGGCUCAGUUGGUAGAGCAGCUCAUUCGUAAUGAGCAGGCCGUCGGUUCGAGUCCGACUAUCA
rnacentral:tRNA from 2 species